CCAACUACGAGGAAUAUAACUGGGGAAAGUUUUUUGUGACUCGAAAGCUCAGUAACUUCAAGAAACUUGAUGUCGAAAAUAUCCAGAUCAAUCAUUUUAAGGUAUCUGCAUAGCUGAAAAAUUAUCAGAAGUUGAACUACAGUAGCUAUUAUCGAUCUGAUGUUAUACAGUGGUCAGUAAAUUGUUGGUUUUAAACUUUCAGUUACUUAAUGUAAUGCAUAUGCAUGUACAGAAUUAUGAGAUGUAAUAUUUCUCAAAUAAAAGAGGUCUUCUGUUCUAUUUUUAGCCCUGCAAGCAAGCUAAGAUACUGCAAAUGCAUCUUUCGACUUGAUCAAAAAUUACUCAUCAAUUUCUAUUCAUCUUCUUUGAUUAAUUAAAUUUUCUCUAACAAUUUAAACUUGAUUUUUUUUUGAGUUUGCUUAUAACAAAAAAGUUUAUCAAAAUAUAAUAUACAUAGGCAACUAAGUUACCUGUCAUUUUCACUCACAUAUAUAAAUGAAUUUUUUUAAGAAAAUUACAUUUAUUUGCAUAAUAGGUUGCAACUGGUUGCAUAGGCAGCAAAAUGAUUGCCUGAGCGGCGAAUACUAAUAUCACAAAAACAACCAUAAAAGCAAAAUCAACAAGCAUUGCAACCAAAAAAUCAACUAACACAGCAAACUAGAAAUCAACACAAAAGCAACCAACUCAAACAAACAAGAAAACAAUUCAAAGUAAUCAACCAAGACUUACGGUCCAUCUCUUUCUUUCUCGAGUUCUCUUCUCUGUCUCUUCCGUCUAAGCAACUGCGAAAUCAAAAUCAACAACCACUGCAAUCAGCAAUCAUUCUCAUCAAUUGUUCGAUUUCACAGAAAUCCGAAACUCUAAUAAAAAAUUCAUCUCAUUGAAAGUCUAAGAGAGAGGGAAGAGGCGACUCUAUACAUGUAUGAUUGUGUUAUACGUAUACAACUUGCAAGCUAUGGAUGAGAUGUGAAAGAAAUUUUUGUUAUAAUAUGAGAAAGAUAUACAGAGAGAGGGAGAGCGCGCCGAGACAGAGUUAGGAAAGAAAUGAGACAAUGAGAAAUCGUAUUUUUGAAAGUAUAAUGAACUGAGAAGAUAUGAAUGAAAUAGAAACAAAAAUAACGUAUUCUUGUAAAUAAGAACAAGAAAGCACGUAUUCCGGAUGAUUUUUCUAAAUAAUAUGUUUUAUAAUAUUAUAAGUUAUAUUUUUACUUGCAGGUGGACUACAAAACUCUAAUGAAAU
rnacentral:lncRNA from 1 species